AACGCUAGCUACAGGCUUAACACAUGCAAGUCGAGGGGCAGCAUGAACUUAGCUUGCUAAGUUUGAUGGCGACCGGCGCACGGGUGAGUAACACGUAUCCAACCUGCCGAUGACUCGGGGAUAGCCUUUCGAAAGAAAGAUUAAUACCCGAUGGCAUAGUUCUUCCGCAUGGUAGAACUAUUAAAGAAUUUCGGUCAUCGAUGGGGAUGCGUUCCAUUAGGUUGUUGGCGGGGUAACGGCCCACCAAGCCUUCGAUGGAUAGGGGUUCUGAGAGGAAGGUCCCCCACAUUGGAACUGAGACACGGUCCAAACUCCUACGGGAGGCAGCAGUGAGGAAUAUUGGUCAAUGGACGAGAGUCUGAACCAGCCAAGUAGCGUGAAGGAUGACUGCCCUAUGGGUUGUAAACUUCUUUUAUACGGGAAUAAAGUGAGGCACGUGUGCCUUUUUGUAUGUACCGUAUGAAUAAGGAUCGGCUAACUCCGUGCCAGCAGCCGCGGUAAUACGGAGGAUCCGAACGUUAUCCGGAUUUAUUGGGUUUAAAGGGAGCGUAGGCGGACGCUUAAGUCAGUUGUGAAAGUUUGCGGCUCAACCGUAAAAUUGCAGUUGAUACUGGGUGUCUUGAGUACAGUAGAGGCAGGCGGAAUUCGUGGUGUAGCGGUGAAAUGCUUAGAUAUCACGAAGAACUCCGAUUG
rnacentral:rRNA from 1 species